rfam:Asian citrus Psyllid, Diaphorina citri - Florida Strain, whole genome shotgun sequence.
GCUCCCAUGGCGUAGUGGCCACUGCGCUCGCCUUGCACGCGGGAGACCCGGGUUCGAUUCCCGGCGGGGUCA